rnacentral:tRNA from 1 species
UAAAAAUUAGUUAAUUAAUAAAUAACAUUAAUAUGUCAUAUUAAAAUAAUUAAUACAAAAUUUAAUAUUUUUUA